rnacentral:lncRNA from 1 species
UAGCUGGAAGGCCUUCCCAGGAAUGCAAGUCUGAACCAUCUAGAGUUCUCUCAGCCAGAAUGAAGGCUCAGCUCUUGGAUGUUUCUACCAUAAAAAUGAGAAAGCAUUUCCUACCUCCUCCUCUGUCACUCCACAAAGAUGUGCUUCCUGUGUGGCUGGCUAGCAGAUAAGAGAAGGGCGCCCUUGGCGCCGCCUGCACCCCACGCGCCCCCUCCGCUCCCCGGCCGACGGCCCACCUGGGCUUCGUGAACAGUGGGAGGGAGAGUCUGGGGCCAGGAGAGGGACGGUGCAGGAUCAGGGAAAGGUCCAGAAAAGUCUAAGAUCAAGAUGCAGAUAGGAUUGGAAUCCUCAGAGGUCUCCUUGGCUUGCAGAUGGCUGCACCCUUGCUAAGUCCUCACACGUUCUUUCCUCUGCACAGGACCGUGUGCUAACUCCUCAUCAAAGACCAGAAGUAGAUCCUGAAUUGUAUUCAUUCUCAUCUCUUUCUACCUCCUCCAAGACAGAAGGACAUGAUUAACUUCUUUAUCUCAAUGUCAGCCUUCAAUAGCUACAAAAGUCUAAACUGUAAAUAGCGUUGAAGCUUUGCAUAAUAAAAUUCUUUUCCCCAGUGAUGGGCAGUUUUUCACAUAGUAACUGGAAAUCAGAAGUACAUGCAAUAGGAAUUAACUUGAAUAUGAUGCAUAAAGUUUGAAGCAAAGGAAGAUCUGCUGAGCAUGCCUGAGCUGAGAAAUGAGGGAAGGCAGACAUAUGUAUGAGCGCCUAUGCAGAGAGGUGAGUAGAUGUGGUUGCGGGGAGCUUGUGGAAAGUCUU